CCUACGGGUGGCAGCAGUGAGGAAUAUUGGUCAAUGGACGAGAGUCUGAACCAGCCAAGUAGCGUGAAGGAUGACUGCCCUAUGGGUUGUAAACUUCUUUUAUAAAGGAAUAAACCGCGGCACGGGUGCCUUGUUGCAUGUACUUUAUGAAUAAGGAGCGGCGAACUCCGUGCCCGCAGCCGCGGUCAUACGGAGGAUCCGAACGUUAUCCGGAUUUAUUGGGUUUAAAGGGAGCGUAGAUGGGUUGUUAAGUCAGUUGUGAAAGUUUGCGGCUCAACCGUAAAAUUGCAAUGGAUACUGGCAGUCUUGAGUACAGUUGAGGUAGGCGGAAUUCGUGGUGUAGCGGUGAAAUGCUUAGAUAUCACGAAGAACCCCGAUUGCGAAGGCAGCUUACUAAACUGUGACUGACAUUGAUGCUCGAAAGUGUGGGUAUCAAACAGGAUUAGAUACCCCAGUAGUC
rnacentral:rRNA from 1 species